UACGUAGGGUGCAAGCGUUAUCCGGAUUCACUGGGUUUAAAGGGUGCGUAGGCGGGUAUAUAAGUCAGUGGUGAAAGCUCCGAGCUUAACUUGGAACUGCCAUUGAUACUGUAUAUCUUGAAUGUCGUUGAGGUUAGCGGAAUGUUGCAUGUAGCGGUGAAAUGCUUAGAUAUGUUACAGAACACCAAUUGUGAAGACAGCUAACUAAGCGAUGAUUGACGCUGAGGCACGAAAGCGUGGGGAGCAAACAGG
rnacentral:rRNA from 1 species